AAAUGGCUUAAAAUCAAUCAAUUUAUAUUCGUUAUGUAUUUGUUUACCAAUAUAUUUGCAAACGUUAUCCAAAACUUGACAAAGAAAAGCCGAAUGCUUUAGUUUCCGGACUUGGUACAAAAAUCCCAAAGAUUGUCUUAAAUGGAUUGUAUAUGUACCUAAGUAGUCUAAUCCUCAAAUUCUUCCUAUUGGUAAUGUAUCAUUGGAAGAACAUGUUAGAUAAGUCUAUCAUGAAAAGGACAACACAAACAACCAAUGCUUAUUCCUUCGUUAUAUGAACAAAGGAACUUACGAAGAUUAGCAUAAUGACAAGGACACUUUUAGUGUUAUUAGUUCUUCACUUACAAAUCGUUGUAUGAAGAAAUAAGAGUUUCUUUGAACAACCCUUAGUCAAUGCAAACAUUAGUGCUUGUUUCUUUGUUACAUGAACAAGGAACUUGAGAAGAAAGCACAAAGGCAUGGACACUUAAUGUGCCAUGAUUCUUCACUUACAAUUUGUUGUAUGAAGAAAUGAGAGUUGCCUUGAACAACUCUUGAAAGUUUGUAAUUAUGUUUAG
rnacentral:lncRNA from 1 species